rnacentral:rRNA from 1 species
CAGGCUGCAACUCGCCUGCAUGAAGUUGGAAUUGCUAGUAAUCGCGAAUCAGAAUGUCGCGGUGAAUACGUUCCCGGGCCUUGUACACACCGCCCGUCACACCAUGAGAGUCGAUAACACCCGAAGCCUGUGAGCUAACCGCAAGGGGGCAGCAGUCGAAGGUGGGGUUGAUGAUUGGGGUGAAGUCGUAACAAGGUAAC